rnacentral:lncRNA from 1 species
CCAAGCUUGAAUGAUGGAUUUUGCAGAGGUUGUUGUUGGGUGAGAUGUUUUUGAGGUGGAUGUGAUGUUUUGAAGCCAUUGUUCUAAGAACAAAAUGUUGUCUGGUUUUCUUGACAUCUCUUUGUUCUGUGUGUUUCAAUGGCGGAAUCGCGGUGGGAAGUGAAGCACUUCUGUGACGCACUUCUUUUUCUUUUUUAAUUAAAAACCCCUUAAUUUUCAAGUUUUAAUCUCAACCUUACAAUUUUUCUUUUGCCACAUGUGAUACAUCCUGACACUUAACU